rnacentral:rRNA from 1 species
AGACUUUGAUCAUGGCUCAGAUUGAACGCUGGCGGCAGGCCUAACACAUGCAAGUCGAGCGGCAGCGGGUCCUUCGGGAUGCCGGCGAGCGGCGGACGGGUGAGUAAUGCCUAGGAAUCUGCUUGUUAGUGGGGGGAUAACUCGGGGAAACUCGAGCUAAUACCGCAAACCUCCUACGGGAGAAAGCGGGGGAUCUUCGGACCUCGCGCUACCAGAUGAGCCUAGGUCGGAUUAGCUAGUUGGUGAGGUAAAGGCUCACCAAGGCGACGAUCCGUAGCUGGUCUGAGAGGAUGAUCAGCCACACUGGAACUGAGACACGGUCCAGACUCCUACGGGAGGCAGCAGUGGGGAAUAUUGGACAAUGGGCGAAAGCCUGAUCCAGCCAUGCCGCGUGUGUGAAGAAGGUCUUCGGAUUGUAAAGCACUUUAAGUUGGGAGGAAGGGCAGUAAGUUAAUACCUUGCUGUUUUGACGUUACCGACAGAAUAAGCACCGGCUAACUUUCGUGCCAGCAGCCGCGGUAAUACGAAGGGUGCAAGCGUUAAUCGGAAUUACUGGGCGUAAAGCGCGCGUAGGUGG